AGCAAGCUUUUCAGUAGUUUAAAAAAAUCUAGGUUGUAUGGUAUGAAUGACAUUAUUUUCCUGGUAAACAGAGUUCUCAGAAGGCCUUGGGAUUCUUGUCUCCAGUGCACAUGCCCUAUAUCAUUCCCUCACUUUGAGUGUAGGCAAGAUCUGUGAAUGGAUAUGCUGAUGUUUACCUGCACAGUCAGAUUAUGGUUUAAGGCAAAGAUGAAGGGCUGUGGAGAUGUCAUUGAGGAGCUUGGUCAGCUGGUUCUGAGCUAAUCAAAAGGGAUGUUGAGUAUUGGAGUCUACCCUGCUCAAUCAAGCCUGUCAAUGGAGAGAUUAGCAGUAACAAAUGACUCUAAGGGCCUUGAAGAGGCAAAUGGGCAGGUAGUGGAAAGUGACCCGAGGAGUGGACAGGGAACCCUGGGAAGCCAGUGCCUAAUGAGGCCCACAGGCCGGCUGCCACAUGGAACUGAAUUCGGCACCUAGAUAAAAACCCAGAUGAAAUUCAGGCAACACAUUGAUCUCAAGAUUGGGAGACCAGUGAAUUAGCAGAUGCUUUAGCUAAUUUAUGCCCAGACUUUUCACUCAUGGAAACUGAGCUAACUAAUUAAGGCAAUGAACUUUAUGAAGCAACAAGACAUAAAUACCGGUUUCAACUAACAAGCCAAUACUAGUUUGUUAGACCAGUAGCCUGGGGUGCUUUGUUAGAAGGGAUGUUAAUGCUAACAAUGCUCCUGGAGUGAGAGGGAGAGAUGUGAUUGAUUAGCAAUGUCUGCAUGGACUUAGAAGUCACAGCAUAUGCAUCUCUUAACUACUGUUCAAGGUCCCUUAUGUGUUUGAGAAAACUGGGGUUAACCAACUUAAUUUUUUCCCAUUGACCAAAUAGGACUGAAAGUCUUGAGUCUUCAGUUGGACACUGUGCUGUGAGAAAAGCCUCACAGACAGAAGAGUGAGAAGUUAUCAAGGCAGGUUUUAGCAGCUCCAACAUAUCAGGGUAGUUUUGUAGACUGGUGUGGGCAAUAAUGAGCUCCCUCAGGGCUCUCCGCUUGAUGUUCUCACCCCUUCUCCCUUCACGCCUUCAGUUCAAUUUCUCUAAAUAUGCACAGAUCUUCUCUGAGUUGCUGAGAUACCCAAACUGUGGCUCCGUUCUCCACUUAUUUUCAGGACUGAUAACACAUCAAGAUCUGUGACCAUCCUGAAGGGAUGUCAGAACUCUCGAGAUGCUCAUUCCUAAGAAUGUCCAACUCUGAACUGAUCCCGUGAUGCCAUCUGAAUACACCAGAGAAGGACCUCUUUCCAUCUUCUAGAGGCAGCUGGUAAAGCUUGACUCUAUUCCCAGGAUGUCUUUGUAAGCAGAAGCCGCCAUCACUCUGAACCUUGACACAAACUGUAGCAGCAUGCCUAGACAGGACCCUCAGCCCUGGACCCUCACCACAUGCCUAUGCUCCAGGUUCCAUCUUUAGAAACACAAGGAUGGCAAAUUCAGCCCAAAGAAACAGUGCUCAGGAUGCAUAGGAAUGGAUGUAGUUGGAAGUCUCCACUCACAUUGAAAUGACUAAGGUAAUGGCGAUAUCAUGUCAUGAUAUAGAUAUGAUAGGAUGAAAGGGUAGAUUAUUGAAUCUACUUUUAAAGAACAACUACUUGUUUAAA